rnacentral:rRNA from 1 species
UAGCUACAGGCUUAACACAUGCAAGUCGAGGGGCAUCAGGAAGAAAGCUUGCUUUCUUUGCUGGCGACCGGCGCACGGGUGAGUAACACGUAUCCAACCUGCCCUUUACUCGGGGAUAGCCUUUCGAAAGAAAGAUUAAUACCCGAUAGCAUAAUGAUUCCGCAUGGUUUCAUUAUUAAAGGAUUCCGGUAAAGGAUGGGGAUGCGUUCCAUUAGGUUGUUGGUGAGGUAACGGCCCACCAAGCCUUCGAUGGAUAGGGGUUCUGAGAGGAAGGUCCCCCACAUUGGAACUGAGACACGGUCCAAACUCCUACGGGAGGCAGCAGUGAGGAAUAUUGGUCAAUGGGCGCUAGCCUGAACCAGCCAAGUAGCGUGAAGGAUGAAGGCUCUAUGGGUCGUAAACUUCUUUUAUAUAAGAAUAAAGUGCAGUAUGUAUACUGUUUUGUAUGUAUUAUAUGAAUAAGGAUCGGCUAACUCCGUGCCAGCAGCCGCGGUAAUACGGAGGAUCCGAGCGUUAUCCGGAUUUAUUGGGUUUAAAGGGAGCGUAGGUGGACUGGUAAGUCAGUUGUGAAAGUUUGCGGCUCAACCGUAAAAUUGCAGUUGAUACUGUCAGUCUUGAGUACAGUAGAGGUGGGCGGAAUUCGUGGUGUAGCGGUGAAAUGCUUAGAUAUCACGAAGAACUCCGAUUGCGAAGGCAGCUCACUGGACUGCAACUGACACUGAUGCUCGAAAGUGUGGGUAUCAAACAGGAUUAGAUACCCUGGUAGUCCACACAGUAAACGAUGAAUACUCGCUGUUUGCGAUAUACAGUAAGCGGCCAAGCGAAAGCAUUAAGUAUUCCACCUGGGGAGUACGCCGGCAACGGUGAAACUCAAAGGAAUUGACGGGGGCCCGCACAAGCGGAGGAACAUGUGGUUUAAUUCGAUGAUACGCGAGGAACCUUACCCGGGCUUAAAUUGCAGUGGAAUGAUGUGGAAACAUGUCAGUGAGCAAUCACCGCUGUGAAGGUGCUGCAUGGUUGUCGUCAGCUCGUGCCGUGAGGUGUCGGCUUAAGUGCCAUAACGAGCGCAACCCUUAUCUUUAGUUACUAACAGGUUAUGCUGAGGACUCUAGAGAGACUGCCGUCGUAAGAUGUGAGGAAGGUGGGGAUGACGUCAAAUCAGCACGGCCCUUACGUCCGGGGCUACACACGUGUUACAAUGGGGGGUACAGAAGGCAGCUAGCGGGUGACCGUAUGCUAAUCCCAAAAUCCUCUCUCAGUUCGGAUCGAAGUCUGCAACCCGACUUCGUGAAGCUGGAUUCGCUAGUAAUCGCGCAUCAGCCACGGCGCGGUGAAUACGUUCCCGGGCCUUGUACACACCGCCCGUCAAGCCAUGGGAGCCGGGGGUACCUGAAGUACGUAACCGCAAGGAUCGUCCUAGGGUAAAACUGGUGACUGG